rnacentral:rRNA from 1 species
AGUGAACGCUGGCGGUAGGCCUAACACAUGCAAGUCGAACGGCAGCACAGUAAGAGCUUGCUCUUACGGGUGGCGAGUGGCGGACGGGUGAGGAAUACAUCGGAAUCUACUUUUUCGUGGGGGAUAACGUAGGGAAACUUACGCUAAUACCGCAUACGACCUACGGGUGAAAGCAGGGGAUCUUCGGACCUUGCGCGAUUGAAUGAGCCGAUGUCGGAUUAGCUAGUUGGCGGGGUAAAGGCCCACCAAGGCGACGAUCCGUAGCUGGUCUGAGAGGAUGAUCAGCCACACUGGAACUGAGACACGGUCCAGACUCCUACGGGAGGCAGCAGUGGGGAAUAUUGGACAAUGGGCGCAAGCCUGAUCCAGCCAUACCGCGUGGGUGAAGAAGGCCUUCGGGUUGUAAAGACCUCUUGUUGGGAAAGAAAAGCAGCAGGUUAAUACCCAGCUGUUCUGACGGUACCCAAAGAAUAAGCACCGGCUAACUUCGUG